rnacentral:lncRNA from 1 species
CGAGUUGGAGUUGACCCCCGUCGAGAUGUUGGCCGCUGAAGAGGAGGGCAAUGUGGGCUGCUGGUCCGGCACCGCCGCCGCGGCGAGUGCCAGGCAGAGGAGGACGGCGCCGUAAAGCGGCGCGCCCAUGGCGGCGGGUUCUAGCUGGCUCUGGAUUAGGUGCGGUUGCUGCUGCGUCUGCGGUGGUGGUGCGUUCUCUGGGAAGAAGGAGGAGUGAGAAACGGGGAGUGUGGUUCACUGCUCCUCCCUCUUGAAGAGAGAGAGAGAACGCGUUGUGGGCGCCUGCCUGUCGGUGCUUCACGGCGCGCAGCCACGCACAGCUUUCCGUUAAAAUUGACAAAAUUGACUCCUAUGUGGAAAGAAGUCACAAAGUGAAUCCAUG